rnacentral:rRNA from 1 species
AACGGCCGCGGUAUCUUGACCGUGUGAAGGUAGCGUAAUCAUUUGUCUUUUAAAUAAAGACCUGUAUGAAUGGCGUAACGAAAGCUUAACUGUCUCACUUCCCCAGUCAAUGAAAUUGAACUUUCCGUGCAGAAGCGGAAAUAAAAACAUAAGACGAAAAGACCCUGUGGAGCUUUAGAGAUUUAAGCAGCUACACUAAAAUUUAUUAAAUAUCAUACCCUGCUUAAAUAUCUUAGGUUGGGGCGACCACGGAGAAAAACAAAACCUCCACGAAAAAUUUAUUUAACUUAAAAUAAGAGCGCACAACUCCAGUUUUCAGAAUAUCUGUUCAAAAUGACCCGGUAAUACUAAAUCCGAUUAACGAAACAAGUUACCCCAGGGAUAACAGCGCAAUCCCCUUUUAGAGUUCCCAUCGAUAAGGGGGUUUACGACCUCGAUGUUGGAUCAGGACAUCCUAAU